UUAUCACCUGGGGGGUCUGGAAUGAAGGAUGGGAGGAGACUGAAGGAGCCCAUCCUGCCUAGGAGGAAAAAAAAUCGAAGCCAAACUCUUUCUCAUCAGCAGCUCUGCAAGAUGGACCUACGCAGGCCUGGUGCCUCAUUCUUUUUGGACUUGGAACUGUGAGCCCACCCUAUUUUCCAGCCAGUUUGAAAGGAAAAACAAGUCCACCUUAUAAGAUGAAAUGGCACUUCCCCUUUGUUCCUCGUUCUCACAGAUCCCUUCAUGCACACGCGAGAAGGAACACGAUGGUACAAACCCAUCUUUUAAAAACUGUGGUUAUUCCUAGUGUCCUCGUGUUAAAGGAUUUUACCCACAGAAGAAGUUCCUUGGGUGAACUUUAAUUUUCCUACAACCACUUUCAGCCCCAAGGAGGACACUUUCCGAUUUGGACACUGGAUAAUAAAACAAGAAGAAAAACGUUAUUGCUUUUAAUACCAGCAGCUAAGCACCUUAGGUACUCUGGCUAGAGGAUAUGGUCAGUGAACACGAGAGGAAUAAGAUGGAAAGAACUGCCUGCAGCUUCUGGUUCCAAACACAGUGGGUCAAGUUCUAGUCAGUACCGAUCGCCCUGGAUCCCAAAAGCAUUCGAGAGCUGGGACCUGUUUUUCACCUGGCUCAGGUAUCUUGUAGUGCUGUUUCUAUUUUUCAGCCUAAGAAGAGAAGUCUGCUCUUCCACCAGAAGCUUACACAUUCAGCGGCAUGAAGAAAGAGGGAUGGACAAAGUCAUCUGUAGACAUCUUUCUCGCUCUUCGACUCCCCGAAUCUGAGAAUCAGAUACUUCGGGUAUGAGAAAUCCAGUACACUGGAAAGAUGGCUGAAUUUUGUGCUAGAAUACCUGAGUUUAAAUGCAGAUUUGGAUUAUGAGUUGAAUGAGCUUCAAUAAAUUUAAAAUUUUUUUCAGCUUUUUAAAAAUAGCUUUACUGAGGAAUAAUUUACAUACCGUAAA